UCCUAAAUUAAAAAGAAAGCAUUCUAUUGUUUCCUUCUUCCCUUCACUGUUAUACGCUCAUUUUCAAUUAGAUAUUUACAAGAAAAAAGAAGCAUUUUUCCCUUUUUUUUCAUACUUUUAGCUACACAUUCAUAAUUAUAAUGCCAUGUUGUAUCCUGUAUGGCAACUGAUGAAUCAAAUACUCGAGACAAAUUUGUUAAUCUUCAUGUGGCAACUUUAUGUAAUAUUUUGCACGAAAUAACUAAUAAAAAAUUGUAGACGUUGUUAGUGUCUCCUCUCAUUUUAAUCGAAAAGUUUACUUACUUUUGAGCAAGUAAAGUCCAGUGACAGAUGAUCAAGAUAAACAGUAAUUACAAGAGAGACUUAUCCAUCUUUUAUAAUCCAUUGCUCCACAAGUAUAUAAACUCUCACAGGUCUAAGUAUUGAAAUUCCAUCUCAAUAUAAGAUAAAGAUAAGCGUCCAGGGAAACGUCGCCCUGGAC
rnacentral:lncRNA from 1 species